rnacentral:rRNA from 1 species
CCUACGGGGGGCUGCAGUGAGGAAUAUUGGUCAAUGGGCGGGACCCUGAACCAGCCAAGCCGCGUGCGGGAAGAAGGUACAGCGUAUCGUAAACCUCUUUUGUCAGGGAACAAAGGCGGGGACUAGUCCCCGGAUGAGGGUACCUGAAGAAAAAGCAUCGGCGAACUCCGUGCCAGCAGCCGCGGUAAUACGGAGGAUGCGAGGUUUAUCCGGAUUUAUUGGGGUUAACGGGUGCUGAGGGGGCCUGUUAAGUCAGGGGAAACAGCCCGGGGCACAACCCGGGCGAGCCGUUGGAACUGGCGGGCUGAAGUUGGAGAGAAGUACGCGGAAUGCGCGGUGUAGCGGUGAAAUGGU